rnacentral:rRNA from 1 species
UACGUAGGGUGCGAGCGUUGUCCGGAAUUAUUGGGCGUAAAGCGUGCGCAGGCGGUUCGUUGUGUCUGAUGUGAAAGCCCCGGGCUCAACCUGGGAAUGGCAUUGGAAACUGGCGAGCUAGAGUGUGGCAGAGGGGGGUGGAAUUCCCGGUGUAGCGGUGAAAUGCGCAGAUAUCGGGAAGAACACCCGUGGCGAAGGCGGCUCUCUGGGACGGUACUGACGCUGAGACGCGAAAGCGUGGGGAGCGAACAGG